rnacentral:rRNA from 1 species
UACGUAGGGGGCAAGCGUUGUCCGGAUUUAUUGGGCGUAAAGAGCGUGUAGGCGGUUUGGUAGGUCCGCUGUGAAAACUCGAGGCUCAACCUCGAGACGCCGGUGGAAACCAUCAGACUAGAGUCCGGAAGAGGAGAGUGGAAUUCCUGGUGUAGCAGUGAAAUGCGCAGAUAUCAGGAAGAACACCCGUGGCUAAGGCGGCUCUCUAGUACGGUACUGACGCUGAGACGCGAAAGCGUGGGGAGCGAACAGG